rnacentral:rRNA from 1 species
UACGUAGGGCGCGAGCGUUGUCCGGAUUUAUUGGGCUUAAAGAGCUCGUAGGCGGCUUGUCUCGUCAACUGUGAAAACCCGUGGCUCAACCAUGUGGUCUGCAGUCGAUACGGGCAGGCUAGAAUUCGGUAGGGGAGACUGGAAUUCCUGGUGUAGCGGUGAAAUGCGCAGAUAUCAGGAGGAACACCAGCGGCGAAGGCGGCGCUCUGGGCCGGAACUGACGCUGAGGAGCGAAAGCGUGGGUAGCAAACAGG